AGAACGAACGCUGGCGGCAUGCCUAAUACAUGCAAGUCGAACGAACUCUUCGGAGUUAGUGGCGCACGGGUGCGUAACGCGUGGGAAUCUGCCCCUUGGUUCGGAAUAACAGUUGGAAACGACUGCUAAUACCGGAUGAUGACGAAAGUCCAAAGAUUUAUCGCCAAGGGAUGAGCCCGCGUAGGAUUAGCUAGUUGGUGAGGUAAAGGCUCACCAAGGCAACGAUCCUUAGCUGUCUGAGAGGAUGAUCAGCCACACUGGGACUGAGACACGGCCCAGACUCCUACGGGAGGCAGCAGUGGGGAAUUUGGACAAUGGGACGAAAGCCUAGAUCCAGCAAUGACCGCGUGCGAGGAACGAAGGCCGUUACGGGUUGUAAACCGUGU
rnacentral:rRNA from 1 species